AGCUCAGUCGGUAGAGCAUCUGACUUUUAAUCAGAGUGGGUCGAAGGUUCGAAUCCUUCC
rnacentral:tRNA from 1 species